rnacentral:rRNA from 1 species
AACAAACGCUGGCGGCGUGCCUAACACAUGCAAGUCGUACGAGAAAGUCGGCUUCGGCCGAUGAGUACAGUGGCGCACGGGUGAGUAGCGCGUGGGUAAUCUGCCCCCCGGUCAGGAAUAACCCGCCGAAAGGCGGGCUAAUACCCGAUAACACUGACGCUCCGCGGAGCGUCUUUCAAAGAAGGCCUCUGUUUACAAGCUUUCGCCGGAGGAUGAGCCCGCGUACCAUUAGCUAGUUGGCAGGGUAAUGGCCUACCAAGGCUACGAUGGUUAGCUGGUCUGAGAGGAUGGCCAGCCACACUGGAACUGAGACACGGUCCAGACUCCUACGGGAGCAGCAGUGAGGAAUCUUGCGCAAUGGGGAAACCCUGACGCAGCAACGCCGCGUGAGUGAGGAAGGCCUUCGGGUCGUAAGCUCUGUCAGAUGGGAAGAAAUGGAUGGGGGCUAAUAUCGCCCAUCCUUGACGGUACCAUCAGAGGAAGCACCGGCUAACCG